rnacentral:rRNA from 1 species
UACAGAGGGGGGCAAGCGUUGUUCGGAAUUACUGGGCGUAAAGGGCGCGUAGGCGGCCUUCUAAGUCGAACGUGAAAUCCCUGGGCUCAACCCAGGAACUGCGUCCGAUACUGGGAGGCUUGAAUCCGGGAGAGGGAUGUGGAAUUCCAGGUGUAGCGGUGAAAUGCGUAGAUAUCUGGAGGAACACCGGUGGCGAAGGCGGCAUCCUGGACCGGUAUUGACGCUGAUGCGCGAAAGCCAGGGGAGCAAAGCGGG